rnacentral:rRNA from 1 species
AUGGCUGCACGGGCUGGUCGGGUAGACCAUGUCGCUGAUGCAUUUAGUACUGAUCUGCGAGCUAUGGAGAAGGCAAUGGACCUUGCGGCUGAGCUAGGUGUGGUGCGUCUUAUGAUCGAAACGGAUACGCUCCUGGUUGUGCAAGCCCUUAACAGACGUGCUCCAGAUUGUUCAAAAGAGGCCCAUGUGAUUGAAGAUGUCAAAGUACAAGCCAGCUUAUGGUUCUCUUCUUGUGUGUUUGUCCACUGUAAGCGGGAGGCUAAUAUGCCUGCCCACCACCUAGCUAAGUUAGGCUUGGCUCUCCCUGUUGGAAAAGUCCUUGUAGCCGAUUAUGUGGUUCCAGCCAUUGUUGCUGAGUCUGUAAUGGGCGAUGUAGCCCAGACUAUUGAGUAA